rnacentral:lncRNA from 1 species
GGGGUUACUGGAACAAGACUCGAUCUGCGGUCGACUCAGGAGGUUUAUAAGUUCCCUACAUGACAUGUAUAUCAAAUAUAUUACAACCGACGAAAUCACCACUCAAUAUACCUUACCAUGCCAUACCGGACAUAACCGUCCCGACGGGGACCGGCGACAAGCUCACGCCUACCCAAGGCCGAGGCUUUCCCGGACUCCUUUCCGGCAUGCAUGCAAGGCACAUGAGGAUGAUUACCAUCACAAAAAUAUUCAUUUCCAACAGCAAGGAAAUCACUGAUAUGCUUCCAUGCAUAUGAUCAUAUCACAUAAAAUAACAAGUCCUCCGAAAUAAGGUGGUGUUAUAAACGUGUUAAAUAACACACCAAAAACAUUAUACCAGGGUUCAGAAUGCUUGCCUUUAAGUUGUGGAGGGGUGAGGUGCUCUCCAAAACUUUUGAAAGGUUCUUCUCUCUCUCCAAAAUCCUAUUUUAAAAUAUAUUUGAAUCAACACACGUUUCAAAAACAGUACAAAAAGUUGUUUGGAAUUUUUUUCAAAAAAAUCUUAAAAUAAACUAGACCAAAUUUGAGGUAGGUAGGAAAAAGAAUCAACUCAUUUGGAGUUAUAUUUAAAAAGUUAUAGCCAGUCAAAGAUUUGGUCAAAAUCUGUUAUUUAAAAUAAAACAGAAAAGAAAACGUUUCAGAGGGUAAUACGCUUUCGAAGCGGGGAAAACGUACUGGAGGUUUUGCGCUUUCACUUAGCCCACGUGGACCGGCGCUGGGUCACUGACGGUGGGCCCGCCUGGUCCACUGGUCAGGUUUGACCAGUCGCCCGCAUCUUCUCCCUCCUCUGCCCGAGCGGGGCGGGGCUCCGGCGAGGCUCACCGGCGAAUGACGGCACCGUUCGGGGAACGGAGGCCAUCGAUGUGCUCAGGGGAUCAAGACGGUCACUCCGGUAGUCGUAGGGUCGUCGGAGGUGGAGGAAAUCGCCGGCGGCGAGCUCCGCGGCGGAGGGAAGCUUCGGGAGCAAGGUGGAUUUGGGGCUACGGUGGUUCCCGAUCAAGAUUGAGUAGGGGAAUGGGUUCACGGGAGGAUGAGGAAGUUUCUGGCGAAGAGAAUGGAGAGGGGGAGGUACUGGAGGUGCCGGAUUGGCCGGGGCGGUGGCGGCGGCAGGAGUUGCCGGAGAUGAGGGAGGAGGCCUCCCCGGGUCGAAUGCGAGCUAGGGGAGCGCCAAUGGGGUGGCAUGAGGUCGCCUGCGUGCUCGGGGAAGCUCGGGGACCUCCAUAAAUAGGCGAGUCGAGGCGGUUCAGCGGCGGCUGCGGAUGAGCUCGUCGGCGACCGUCUUUCUGUAGCUGCAGGGUAUCAUGGCGGCGACGAGCGCUAGCGGACAUGGCUGCGGAUAAGCUCGCGCUGUUCCAGGGGCCAGGUGGCGAGCGGGGGAGGCUCGGCGGCGCUGAACGGAGCAGGGGCUGUCGGCGGCCGUGACGGCUAGCUCCUGGCCUGUCGGGCGUGGCGAGGGGCGGCUUGGCGCGUAGCGGUGAGGAGGGACGUGCGUGGCGAGGUGCUGCCAAGUGGGCCAAAGCCAGGGGGGCCAGCGUGUCGGCUCGGGCGCGGCAUGUGCAAAACGCGUGCCAAACGCACGCUCUGCUCGCGCUCUGGGCAUGCACGAGAUGUGCUCGACACAAUGCCAGAGCACACUAGAGGUCGCGGUUGAGGCUGGGAAGAAACAGGGCUAGGUUAGGGUUAGAUAGAGGGGAAAUGGGCAUGGUGGUUAGGUCAUGUGGCCAAGUUUACAAUGCAAACUUGAAUCCAUGCUAAAUCUGGCCAUGCACAUAGGGUGUUUGAUAAAAUGCCACAGGCACCUAGGCUUUUCUUGGAGUUGCCAAACUCUCCAGAUCAGGGUCUCCUUGGAUGAAUGAGAAGGUGGUGAGGUUAUUUGGCCAAAAGCAGAAACUUGUUAGUGCAAGUUUUGCAAAACUUCAAUUCUGGACAGAAGAUAAAUGGCAUUAUUCCAUGAACCAAAAAUGAACCAAUGGGUGCAUGCUCCUGGAUUUAGGGGUUUGGUAGGGUGGUCUACAAGCAGGAAAAGGAAUCAUGGGUAAAGGAGCAACUUAAGAUGUAGUUGCUGUACAAAUCCUCAAGUUGGUCCAGAAUGAAAAUGAGGUUGAUUCACUCAAAUUUUUCAAAGAACAGCACUAGGUUUCUGCAUAAAGCUGAAUCAUAUGCUACUACCAAUAUCCCAUAAUUUUGGUGGAGGCUAGAAGGAAUCAUUUAAAAGAGUUGUAGUGCAAAAUUGUCCACUGGACCAGAGAACAAAAUUGGUUGUAGAGCUCAAAAUAUUUCAUGAAAUAAGGAUGUUUUUGCACAAAAGUUAUUUGUAGACAUCACAUGACAUCUCCAAAUUUUUGUGGAAAUUUUUAAGUGAAUUUAUCAAAUGGUUGUAGUUCAAAUAUGGCCACUUAACCUUGAAAAACCAUUUUCAAGAAAGUAAAGAUCAAGCAACUUAAUUUUUUUAAUUAGUUAUAUUAAAUAAGAAAAAGUUUCUCUUGAGAGAUUAAAUAAGUCCAACAACAUAUUUGAAAGAUUUUCACUUUGGGAAAAACUCAUCACAACAGGGAAGAAAAUGAUUAAACAAAAUCAAAAGGGAGCUCAAAAAUUCAAAGUUUUAAUUCCUGGCAAAAUUUUAAUUCAUUAAAACAAGGUCAAAAUUUUGGGGUGUCACAACACUACCCCCCUUAAGAAAAAAAAUCUCGUCCUCGAGAUUUGAUAAAAGCUGUUUCAAGAAAAUUUUAUGCAACAAAGAUGUGGCUACAGUGAGAGGGUAAUAAGUGGUGUAAAACCACAGUGUGGAUACUGGUGCUGCGUGAGAAAUCUACGGUUCGGGACAAAACGUGAGAUUUUUACGCUGGAUAUAAAUUUAGAAUAAUCUCUAAAUUUAAAUAUACGCUGGUCGUACCCGAGAGCAUAGUGCUCUCCCUGGCCGACAGGUGGGCCCGAGGCCCACUGUCAGCCUCUUCUUCUCCCUCUGGUUCUCUCUUCCUCCUCUCUCUCGCGCGCGCUUCCCCACGCUUUCUCCACCGGCGACGUUUAGCGCGUAGGGUAUCUAGGCCGUACCGCGGUAGUGCGCGGCGUGAUAGCUGCCGGUGCAGCGUGCACUCACCUCGCGGGCCAGCAUGCUGUCGGCACUGCUCGCGGAUUCGUCUCCAAACACCGGCGAUCGGCGACGAGCGGCGUUGGUGGACUUCGCCCACCGUACACCGAGCUCGAGCUAUAAAAUGGCCGGGGUGUUCUCCUCUCUUCUUCCUCACACCUGGCCUCACUUCUCCUCCUCCUUCCCCCACUACUGCUUACAGAAGCUCGGGUGAGGCUCUAAUGGCGGAGGCGAUGCCGGACUGGUUUGCGAUCCUGAUAUUCGGAGGGCUGGCGACACUACUGGGGCUCUCCAUGCUCCUGUGCGCGAUGAUCCUCGACGAUCGUCGCGACGCUGCUGCUCGGGUGUUGGCUCUCCGCGGUGGUGGUGAUCACGAGGAGUAGAUGGGGUGUGCUAGGUGCUAACCGUUGUUAGGGGGUGAUUAGCUGGAUGCAACACCGUUGCAAAGUUUUGCAAACAGUGUAUGUGCUCGAAUGAUUAUGGUUGUGAGUUGCUGCCGUGGUGCUGUGUGAAAUUAAUAAAUCCACGCCGCGAGAAAGUGCAGAUGUAGCAACUCAGGGAAAAAAAAUCUCACUCCAGGAUUUUGCGAGAAAAGCAGUUAAUUUAAAAGAGCAUAAACCACAACAAAAACUACAUCCAUUAGUAGAAGCCAAUUAAUUAACUUGUCGUACAAACUCAGGGCAUUACGCAUAAGUCACACACAUAAAUAAGCGUGGUAAUAGUGAACACCGCAGCGACGUCUAAAAUGGAAACGGUAAUUGGACGGGGUCCCUAGAAAACGUCUCUGGUACUGGGAUACACUCCUCUUCUAUCGGAGAAAGUGGAUUGACCAGUCGAUGUACGUGUCUCUCCUGGCCGGGCCUUAGUGCUCUGCCUAUGGCGAUUUGAGGAUUUAAAUCUGCGAGGCUCUGGAGAUAACCCAUCACACGUUGGGUUAAACGCUCUUGAGCGAUGACGUACUGGACAAGGUUGGCCAGGACUGGGUCUCUCUCAAUUCGUCCACCAGGAAAAGAUGUCACUCCUCCGGGUUCUGCACGGCUCGGAAAGUAAUAGUAUCCUCGUUCGCUGGCAUAAGGCACUGCGAAUCGAAGGCGAGCAAGUGCUUCGUAUGCAGCAGCUUCUAUGGCCAUCUGUGGGGUUGGCAUAGAUUUCCCCACGAAGGAGACCUCUGUGGGGUCUUGGUUUGAGUUUACGGGAGGGAUGUGCACUGCUGCCCAAUAUCUUGAGGUGGAAGAGGUGAUCCUUGAUUUGAACAGCUCGUACUGGGGUGGCUGGGUAGCGCCCAUGGUACUGCAGGUAAAAUCCCACAAUAUCUUGACAAAACUACCCUGGGUUGCAUCUGGGGUUCUCAGGUAAAUGCUGGGGCUCGGCAUGGCAAGAAAUGGUUGUGAGGAUGGUGCACAAGAUGAGGGGUGCUUGGCAAGGUCACGCGGUGGCCUUUUAUAGCACUGGAGCUGGGUCAUUUUUACCGUGGUGAAUGGUAAAGAAAAUUUUCAGCUCUGUUCCAAGGUCGGGGUCAAGCCACAGAUUCACACAUUUCACUAUAGUGAUGUGUUACUGUGGGGGUUGUCGGGGAAGGUUUUUGGGGUAGUUGUGUCCGAAAAAAUAUGCAACUGGGUGCUGACAUACCCAUGCAGGGGAUACUAUUUAAAACGGAGGCACGACAACAGGCGGCGUUUAAAAACAAGGCCACAUGAUUAUAAAGCAAGGGUACACUGGGACUCGAUACGAUUUUGGGUGACUUAGUCUACCUCGUUUACAUCCAAGCGGGCGUGCCUUGUGGAUGUCGAGGCUUCUCUUCGGGUCUCGUCAUCUGAAUUAACUGGAGUGGUCUAAGGGGCUGCAGGCUCGGGGUGGCGAUGAUGACCAUCUCGGGGAUUGUUGGCCACAACCCCGUUGGAGUGUGCUUCCAAUAUGCGGCGAAGUACUUCUGGGGUUAUCGCGGCACCUUGGCCGAUGGCUGGGGCAGAUCUCCGGGGCUCGAUCGGGUGUCCAAACGGCACGACUGGGUUGUUGAUGUUGGGCUCAUUCUCUUCUCUCGCCGGGGUUCGACGAACCAGCUCUCCACGAGCUGCGAUUAGAUCAAUCGUGAUUUGAUCGCAUAGCUCCUGUAGUGCACUUACAUAGCGCACUAGGUGCAACAAUGCAGGAUCUGUCUCGUGAUCUCCGUUGACAACUUGGGGUGGUCUACCAUACCCUUCACGUCUAGCGUAGUAGUGGAAUGAGCGACAGUUAACUCUGGGCGACAAGUGUCGGAGAUGAACUAUAGCUUCUCGAGCAGCUAGUUGGAUGGCUUGUGGCUCAAAGGAAGUUGUCCUUCCGGUGAACCUGUAGGGGCGCUCGGGCUCUAGUCCCCUACCAUAAAUGUGCACAGUGGCCCAGAAUUGACGGCUCUCGCCGCUCAUGGGUCCUUGGUACACAACAUAUUCUGGGGGCUCUUCUAACGCAUAGGCACGACGGGUGAGGUUUGCGAGUAUGGUCACAAAGCCUCCAAGGUUGGUUGCUGUGGUCUCAUUGUGCACGACGGGUCCAGGCAUUGUGGCUCGGUUUGGGGUAGCGGCUGCUGUGCUGGGUUGGGGCUAGCGUGCCCUUUUUAUAGGAAAAAGGGGACAGAGUCUUCCUCCACACGCUAGCGAAAAAGGACUAUUUAGGACUCGGUCACUGGUGCAUGAUUGACGGGUUAGAUGGAUAGGUUGGGCAACGACUGCCGAUAAGGGUGUCGGGUCACGGUGUGGCUAUCUUGCUAGGGAAGCUUGACUGGGGUUUGGUCAAAGUAUGGUGGGCUGGUCUACUUAGGUUUAUUGACCUAGCUAGGAUAGGAUUAACCAAUGGUCAGCCUGGCUCUGAUACCAAGUCUGUCACGACCGGUUUUCCGGACAUAAAUUUCCAGAAAAUGGCCGUUGUGCUCACCAGCCCCAGGAUUACUGUUAGCUGAUGAGGCACCAACUUGUUCCAGAAAUUCCAAGCAAAAGUACAAAAUGUAUAGUACAAGACCAUUGUGGCCUGUGAGUACAUCAAAUGGUUUCUAGUGGUUGAUGGCGGAAGCGGUUUGUGAAUCAUCAGUGUGUGGGACUCCAUUUCCCACAGGAAUAGCUGACCUGGUUAACUCCUAUCUUCGCGAGGCUGCUAUCACCGUUGCUUAGUUUCCGGGGCUGUCACCGUACGUUCUUUUCCAUGCAAAUAUCUGGCCAACACAAUAGCCAGGGACAAGCCAGUGAGUACUUCGAAUGUACUCGCAAACAUCAUGAACACUGGGAUAAUAUAAUUGAUAGUUAUGCAAUUAAAUAUUCUAUGAUCACAUCGUUAGUCACAAAUAAAAUAUCUUUUAUGCAUGCAAGCGGGUUAUUAAUAUGCAACAUGAAUAAGCAAUAAUGUAGUGGAAAUAAAAUGCUGCAGUCAGGCGUCUAGGCGACACCACAUAAAGUGCUUUAAAAGAAAUGCCACAGUCGGACGUCUGAGCGACAUCACAGAAAGGGCUUUAAAAGAAAUGCCACAGUCGGAUGUCUAAGCGACAUCACAGAAAGGGCUUUAAAAGAAAUGCCACAGUCGGACGUCUAAGCGACAUCACAGAAAGGGCUUUAAAAGAAAUGCCACAGUCGGACGUCUAAGCGACAUCACANNNNNNNNNNNNNNNNNNNNNNNNNNNNNNNNNNNNNNNNNNNNNNNNNNNNNNNNNNNNNNNNNNNNNNGAAAUGAUGCCGCAGUCGGGCGUCUUAGCAACACCACAUAAAGGGCUUUAAAAGAAAUGCCACAGUCGGACGUCUGAGCGACAUCACAGAAAGGGCUUUAAAAGAAAUGCCACAGUCAGACGUCUGAGCGACAUCACAGAAAGGGCUUUAAAAGAAAUGCCACAGUCGGACGUCUGAGCGACAUCACAGAAAGGGCUUUAAAAGAAAUGCCACAGUCGGACGUCUGAGCGACAUCACAGAAUGGGCUUUUAUUAAAAGUAAAAUAUGACAAUGCCACAGUCGGACGUCUGAGCGACAUCGCAGAAAGGGCUUUUAUUCACAAGUAAAUAAUACUCAUAAUCAACAUUCAAUUCAUGAAANNNNNNNNNNNNNNNNNNNNNNNNNNNNNNNNNNCGUCUGAGCGACAUCACAGAAAGGGCUUUAAAAGAAAUGCCACAGUCGGACGUCUGAUCGACAUCACAGAAAGGGCUUUAAAAGAAAUGCCACAGUCGGACGUCUGAGCGACAUCACAGAAAGGGCUUUAAAAGAAAUGCCACAGUCGGACGUCUGAGCGACAUCACAGAAAGGGCUUUUAUUCACAAGUAAAUUAAUACUCAUAAUAAAUAUUCAAUUCAUGAUAAUAAACGGGUUAGUCCAUCCACAGGAAUAAACAAUUACCCGGGCUUAGAAAUAAAUAAUCACCAUGAAUAUCCAGGGGGUAGAACCAUCCCAGGGAUACUUGAUAAUACAAAUAAUACAACAGGUUAGUCCAUCACAAAAUAAUAAUCAUGGUCCUCACAAGUCACCGGUCAGUAUCCAAGUUUGGUUUAACAAUUUCACCUCCGAAGACCGACACUAAGACCAACACUUGACCCAUCCCAGACUGUAAUCCUUAACCAUGGACACGGCUAUUCGAAUAGGUUUAAUCUCUGCAGAGGGUGUACUCUUUACCCACGAGUAACGGAUUCCUUUAGUCCAUCGGGACUAAUUCCGUCUACGGCCUUUUAGUUGAGAACACGCCUAACUUGCACACACCAGCUUAACUCAUCGGUGUCUGGAAUCACCCACGACACUUGUUAAGCAAAACUCUAACUGGGGAGGCUACAACCUCGCGUAGCAUGGGAUCAAAUUUAUAUCGCGCGCUCUAAGGGGUGGCCUCCCCUCUCGGUCCCAACCGGACACACCCAUGCCCCCGGACCAGGUGGCCUGCCUACCGGCUACAACCGAUAUCUUCCACCAUGGCCUCUCUGUACGGUGUGUGCUGGAAAGGGGUUGACGACUUACUGAACCGUACCCUACCUGCGGUAGGGACGAGUGGGAGUACGAGGCAAGUAUGGGGGUUACUGGAACAAGACUCGAUCUGCGGUCGACUCAGGAGGUUUAUAAGUUCCCUGCAUGACAUGUAUAUCAAAUAUAUUACAACCGACGAAAUCACCACUCAAUAUACCUUACCAUGCCAUACCGGACAUAACCGUCCCGAUGGGGACCGGCGACAAGCUCACGCCUACCCAAGGCCGAGGCUUUCCCGGACUCCUUUCCGGCAUGCAUGCAAGGCACAUGAGGAUGAUUACCAUCACAAAAAUAUUCAUUUCCAACAGCAAGGAAAUCACUGAUAUGCUUCCAUGCAUAUGAUCAUAUCACAUAAAAUAACAAGUCCUCCAAAAUAAGGUGGUGUUAUAAACGUGUCAAAUAACACACCAAAAACAUUAUACCAGGGUUCAGAAUGCUUGCCUUUAAGUUGUGGAGGGGUGAGGUGCUCUCCAAAACUUUUGAAAGUUUCUUCUCUCUCUCCAAAAUCCUAUUUUAAAAUAUAUUUGAAUCAACACACGUUUCAAAAACAGUACAAAAAGUUGUUUGGAAAUUUUUUCAAAAAAAUCUUAAAAUAAACUAGACCAAAUUUGAGGAAGGUAGGAAAAAGAAUCAACUCAUUUGGAGUUAUAUUUAAAAAGUUAUAGCCAGUCAAAGAUUUGGUCAAAAUCUGUUAUUUAAAAUAAAACAGAAAAGAAAACGUUUCAGAGGGUAAUACGCUUUCGAAGCGGGGAAAACGUAC